UUACGAAGUAAGGUGGAAUGAAGAUAGAAUGAAAGACAGUGAAUGAUUCACUACUUUCAUGAAGACGGUGAAUUAUUCACCGCGUGUCUUUAGUAGUUUUUCCAACACCAAGUCGCUCUACAUUCUUUUUACAACAAAAUUAGACAAAAAUAAAUUUUGACAACAAUCAAAAUUUCAACAAUAAGUGUCACUCCCGCGACCGCCAAUUUGGUCGGUUCGGGCACAUGCACAGACGCCGAAUGAACAGAACCUCUCCUUUCCGCCCAAGGUUCAACAACAACAACAUGCAUAACAAAUUCGCCCAGGUAGAAUUUCGAUAUACAUGGCUUACAUGAGGGCAAGCAACAGGAGCAAGUAAAAGUAAACUAACUAUUACAUCCAUUUAUUAUAUCUUGAUUACUUUAAAUAAAAUACAAAACUUCUAUUACAUACAAAGUUUUUACAUUCAUUUCCCAAAAUACAUUACAUGUCCAUUCAAGUACAUUUGCCACAUAUUCUUUA
rnacentral:lncRNA from 1 species